rnacentral:misc_RNA from 1 species
CAAAAACCCAUUCUCCUGUACGCUAACAGCUCUUGGAUUCUGAAUUUGCUUUGGUGAUCCAUCAUCUCAUGGCCUCUAAUGGUGAAUCUGCGCCUACGGGAGCAAUGGACGCACAGAACAGCUUGGAGAGGAUCAAGCGGCAAUUGGCGUCCGGUUCUGGUAGGAAUUUGUUGCAGGGCCCUCUUCUCAAGCGAUCUGAAACUCUGAGAAAAUGGAAUGAACGAUGGGUGAUCUUGGACCCAACUACUGGAAAAAUGGAAUACAAGACUAGGAGAAAUGAGCCGACUGUGAAGGGAACUAUCAUCUUUGAUGCAAAUAGCACAAUAACGGUUUCUCCUGUGAACUUCCAUGGACUUCCAAAGUACGAAGGGUGCUGUUUCUAUAUUGGUACUCCACAAAAAAAAGACUACUUCCUUUGUGCAGAGACUCCUGGUGCAGCUAGAGCAUGGGUUGCAACUUUACAUGCAACCCUGUUGGUUCUAAAGGCACAUAAAGAAGCAGUGAAUUCCUUGAGUGGGAAUGGUUCUGCGAAGCUUGGGACAAUCGCGACUGUGGUUGCUGCUGCCAACUCAACAGCCCUUGAAUGCUCUAAAGAAAUUGAAGCUGCAAUGCAGAUUUCCUUGAGAAAUGCUUUGGGAAUGGUGAAUAAUAGGAUAAUUGAUGGCCCAAUGGAUGAUCUAACAAUCAUGAAGGAGACACUAAAGGUUAAGGAUGAAGAACUGAAGAAUUUGGCCCGGGACCUUCGUGCUCGUGAUUCAACAAUAAGAGACAUAGCAGAGAAACUAUCUGAGACUGCUGAAGCAGCUGAGGCCGCAGCAUCUGCGGCACAUACAAUGGAUGAACAGAGGAGAAUUGCUUGUGCUGAAAUUGAGCGGUUGUCAAAAGCUUCACAGAAGCAGCUGGAGUCAUCCGUGUUGAAGCUUAAAGAGUUUGAAGAGAAGGUUAUGACUCUAACCAAAGAAAGAGAUGAACUGAUCAAGCAGAGAGAUUCUGCGCUUCACGAGGCACAUUUAUGGCGUUCUGAGCUUGCAAAAGCUAGAGAGCGCGUUGUGAUAUUGGAAGGAGCAGUGGUGAGAGCAGAGGAGAAGGUUAGGGUUGCAGAAGCAGACGCUGAAGCUAGAAUAAAGGAAGCUUCACAGAAAGAGGCAGCUGCUAUGAAUGAGAAGCAAGAGCUUCUAGCAUAUGUGAAUGCAUUACAGGCACAACUUCAAAGACAGCAGAUUGAUACAAAGGAAGUGUUUCAGAAGACUGACUCUUCAAAUGUUGUUGGCAGCACUCCUCCCCUGACUAAGCAUGUGGACUUGUCUGAAGAGGAUGUAGAUAAAGCUUGUCUUAGUGUUUCUAGAGUGCUGCCACAUUCUGGGGAGAGUGUCGUGCACAUGGGAGUGGACCAAACUAACCUCCGGCCAAUUGGAGACACUGAAUGGAGCGAUAUACAGCCAACAGAGUCGAGAAUAGCUGAUGUAAGAGAGGUUGCUUCUGAGACAGAAGGAAGCAGCUUGGAUAUUUCUGUUGUUAGCUCACCUGUAAAUAAUCACCAUGAGCAAGGAGGCAACAAUUUUUAUCAGCCUUGAUGUUUAACGCUUUACAUUUUAUAGAAAACAACAUGCAAAUGUAUGGAACGGUAAACUAUUUAAAUUAGUUUACCAAAAAAAAAAAAAAAAAAAAAUUGUUGCCUCACUUGGUAUAUUCCUGCCUGAUUGGCUGUUACUGUUGUGAUGCCAUUGUACAUUUGCAAGAGGAUACAUGAGAUUUUU